rnacentral:rRNA from 1 species
GAUGAACGCUAGCGGCAGGCCUAAUACAUGCAAGUCGGACGGGAUUGGAGAGCUUGCUUUCCAUGAGAGUGGCGCACGGGUGCGUAACACGUAUGUAACCUACCUUGUUCAGGGGAUAGCCUCUCGAAAGAGAGAUUAAGACCGCAUAACAUUGCAAUGUGGCAUCACAAAGCAAUCAAAUAUUUAUAGGAACAAGAUGGGCAUGCGGAACAUUAGCUAGUUGGUAAGGUAACGGCUUACCAAGGCUACGAUGUUUAGGGGAUCUGAGA